UACGUAGGGAGCAAGCGUUGUCCGGAAUCAUUGGGCGUAAAGCGCGCGUAGGCGGCCCCAUAAGUCCGCUGUGAAAGUCAAAGGCUCAACCUUUGAAAGCCGGUGGAUACUGUGGGGCUAGAGUACGGAAGAGGCGAGUGGAAUUCCUGGUGUAGCGGUGGAAUGCGCAGAUAUCAGGAGGAACACCAAUAGCGAAGGCAGCUCGCUGGGACGUCACUGACGCUGAGGCGCGAAAGCGUGGGGAGCGAACAGG
rnacentral:rRNA from 1 species